GAUGAACGCUGGCGGCGUGCCUAAUACAUGCAAGUCGAGCGAAUGGAUUAAGAGCUUGCUCUUAUGAAGUUAGCGGCGGACGGGUGAGUAACACGUGGGUAACUUGCCCAUAAGACUGGGAUAACUCCGGGAAACCGGGGCUAAUACCGGAUAACAUUUUGAACCGCAUGGUUCGAAAUUGAAAGGCGGCUUCGACUGUCACUUAUGGAUGGACCCGCGUCGCAUUAGCUAGUUGGUGAGGUAACGGCUCACCAAGGCAACGAUGCGUAGCCGACCGGGGAGGGUGAUCGGCCACACUGGAACUGGGACACGGCCGAGACUCCUACGGGAGGCAGCAGUAGGGAAACUGCCGCAAUGGACGAAAGUCUGACGGAGCAACGCCGCGUGAGUGAUGAAGGCUUUCGGGUCGUAAAACUCUGUUGUUAGGGAAGAACAAGUGCUAGUUGAAUAAGCUGGCACCUUGACGGUACCUAACCAGAAAGCCACGGCUAACUACGUGCCAGCCGCCGCGGUAA
rnacentral:rRNA from 1 species